AGACGGUAGCUCAACUAUCGCAGUGCCCUUGAUACUGAAGAGCUUGAAUGGACUAGAGGUAGGCGGAAUGUGACAAGUAGCGGUGAAAUGCAUAGAUAUGUCACAGAACACCGAUUGCGAAGGCAGCUUACUAUGGUUUUAUUGACGCUGAGGCACGAAAGCGUGGGGAUCAAACAGGAUUAGAUACCCUGGUAGUCCACGCCCUAAACGAUGAAUACUCGCUGUUAGCGAUACACAGUUAGCGGCUAAGCGAAAGCGUUAAGUAUUCCACCUGGGGAGUACGGUCGCAAGAUUGAAACUCAAAGGAAUUGACGGGGGCCCGCACAAGCGGAGGAGCAUGUGGUUUAAUUCGAUGAUACGCGAGGAACCUUACCCGGGCUUGAAAGUUAGUGAAUGAUUUAGAGAUAGAUCAGUGAGCAAUCACACGAAACUAGGUGCUGCAUGGCUGUCGUCAGCUCGUGCCGUGAGGUGUUGGGUUAAGUCCCGCAACGAGCGCAACCCCUAUGUUUAGUUGCCAGCACGUUAUGGUGGGGACUCUAAACAGACUGCCUGUGCAAACAGAGAGGAAGGAGGGGACGACGUCAAGUCAUCAUGGCCCUUACGUCCGGGGCUACACACGUGCUACAAUGGAUGGUACAGAGGGCAGCAAGCUGGCAACAGCAAGCCAAUCUCCAAAAGCCAUUCACAGUUCGGAUAGAGGUCUGCAACUCGACCUCUUGAAGUUGGAUUCGCUAGUAAUCGCAUAUCAGCAAUGAUGCGGUGAAUACGUUCCCGGGCCUUGUACACACCGCACGUCAAGCCAUGGAAGUUGGGGGUACCUAAAGUAUGUAACCGCAAGGAGCUC
rnacentral:rRNA from 1 species